rnacentral:rRNA from 1 species
GACGAACGCUGGCAGCGUGCUUAACACAUGCCAGUCGAACGGUGAAGCGCCUUCCUUUUUGGUGGGUGUGGAUGAGUGGCGAACGGGUGAGUAACACGUGAGUAACCUGCCCCCUUCUUCUGGAUAACCGCAUGAAAGUGUGGCUAAUACGGGAUAUUCUGGGUCUGUCGCAUGAUGGGUCUGGGAAAGAUAUUGUUUCGGUGGGGGAUGGGCUCGCGGCCUAUCAGCUUGUUGGUGGGGUGAUGGCCUACCAAGGCGGUGACGGGUAGCCGGCCUGAGAGGGUGGCCGGUCACACUGGGACUGAGACACGGCCCAGACUCCUACGGGAGGCAGCAGUGGGGAAUAUUGCACAAUGGGCGCAAGCCUGAUGCAGCGACGCCGCGUGAGGGAUGGAGGCCUUCGGGUUGUGAACCUCUUUCGCCAGUGAAGCAGGCCUGCCUCGUUUGUGGGUGGGUUGACGGUAGCUGGAUAAGAAGCGCCGGCUAACUACGUG